UCUAAAAAUAUCAUAACCUGGAGCACCAAAAAUCAACUGAUUCGACGUUCGCGUAAAUGCUGAUGAGAAACCAAACAUUUCGUGAACUGCUUUGCCCAUUAAUUUCUGCUGAUUAGACCCUGAUACUGGAAAAUUGGAGAAGAAAUAUUAAGACUUGGGCAGUAAAACUUUGAUUAUAUCCAUAUUCACGGGUGAAACAAGGAAGCAAAUACCAGAUGGUUGGUUAGCAAGAUUAUGAAGAUGACCACAAAUGGUUAGCAAAUUGUUUGAUCCACCAACAGCUAUAUUUAAACCAAGAUUCAUUCCAGAUGUAAAUAAAUGUUUGGUCUUGAAUGAUUUGCCAAGAUCUAUGAAAUCAAUAACAAUGGUGAUUUAGAAGUAAAUAAACUGAAAUGGUUCGGUUAUUGUCAACUGACAU